UGGGGAAUUUUGCACAAUGGGGGAAACCCUGAUGCAGCGACGCCGCGUGAUUUAGAAGGCCUUCGGGUUGUAAAAAUCUUUUUUACGGGAUGAAAAUGACAGUACCGUAAGAAUAAGGUCCGGCUAAAUACGUGCCAGCAGCCGCGGUAAUACGUAUGGACCGAGCGUUGUCCGGAAUCAUUGGGCGUAAAGGGUACGUAGGCGGCCUAGUAAGUUAGAAGUUAAAGAAUAUAGCUCAACUAUAUAAAGCUUUUAAAACUGCUAGGCUUGAGAGAUGGAAGGGAAAGUGGAAUUCCUAGUGUAGCGGUGAGAUGCGCAGAUAUUAGGAAGAAUACCGGUGGCGAAGGCGACUUUCUGGUCAUCAUCUGACGCUGAGGUACGAAAGCGUGGGUAGCAAACAGG
rnacentral:rRNA from 1 species